rnacentral:lncRNA from 1 species
CCCAGCGGAAGUGCGUGCAGUGACUUCCGCCGGCUGGGCUCUCUAUCCUGGUCCGGACGCUUGGAGGACCUUGGGGUUUCUUGGGGAACCUCGGACUCGUUAGCAGACCUUCAUGUGGCCGGCCUUUGCCUCCUGAGGUGCUUAUGGCUAGGAAAUGAAGGACGGUGACUCAUUUUACAGAGCAUCCUAUAGCUCUUUGGGGAACCUGAUGAGAAGUUUCAGAACCACCCAGGCUGCUAGAGGCUCCCCGGAUUCUGUGGCUUAUUGUCUCCUGCUUCACCUCUGAACUGUAUUUCUGUUUUCAUCACAUUUCCUCUCCAGUGCCCCUCUCUGCCACCAUUAUGAACCCUUGUGAGCGCAUUGGGCCUACCUGGAUAUUUCAGGCACCUCUGCUAUUAGGGUCAGCUGAUUAGCACUGUGUUUUGUGUUUGGUUUCUUGUUUUGUUCUGAGGGAGG